AGGCAUCAGAUCAGGUAGGGUUACCCGCUGAACUUAAGCAUAUCAAUAAGCGGAGGAAAAGAAACUAACAAGGAUUCCCCUAGUAACUGCGAGUGAAGCGGGAUGAGCUCAAAUUUGUAAUCUGCCUUUGGCCGAGUUGUAAUCUGGAGAAGCGUUAUCAGGCGCCGACCGCACCGAAGUCUCUUGGAACAGAGUGUCAUAGAGGGUGAGAAUCCCGUGCUUGGUGYGGCUGCGGCGUUGYAGAGGCGCUCUCGAUGAGUCGAGUUGUUUGGGAAUGCAGCUCAAAAMGGGUGGUAAACUCCAUCUAAAGCUAAAUAUUGGCGAGAGACCGAUAGCGAACAAGUACCGUGAGGGAAAGAUGAAAAGGACUUUGGAAAGAGAGUUAAAGAGUACGUGAAAUUGCUGAAAGGGAAGCGCUUGGAGUGAGUCGCGCGGGCAGGAGUCAGCUCUGCGUAUUUCCUGCCCGUGGGCCAGCAUGGACUUUGGGCGGCGGACAAGGGCGGUGGGAAUGUGGCAUCCUCGGAUGUGUUAUAGCCUGCCGUCGUACACGCCGUKYGGGGUCGAGGACUGCUUACAGGAUGCUGGCGUAAUGGCUUUAAGCGACCCGUCUUGAAACACGGACCAAGGAGUCUAACAUGCGUGCGAGUGUUUGGGUGKUAAACCCGGGCGCGAAAUGAAAGUAAAUGGAGGUGGGAGCUUCGGCGCACCAUCGACCGGUCUGGAACWUUUGGGAUGGAUCUGAGUAAGAGCAUGUAUGUUGGGACCCGAAAGAUGGUGAACUAUGCCUGAAUAGGGCGAAGCCAGAGGAAACUCUGGUGGAGGCUCGUAGCGAUUCUGACGUGCAAAUCGAUCGUCAAAUUUGGGUAUA
rnacentral:rRNA from 1 species